GGACGGGUGAGUUAAUGCCUAGGAAUCUGCCUGGUAGUGGGGGAUAACGUCCGGAAACGGACGCUAAUACCGCAUACGUCCUACGGGAGAAAGCAGGGGACCUUCGGGCCUUGCGCUAUCAGAUGAGCCUAGGUCGGAUUAGCUAGUUGGUGGGGUAAUGGCUCACCAAGGCGACGAUCCGUAACUGGUCUGAGAGGAUGAUCAGUCACACUGGAACUGAGACACGGUCCAGACUCCUACGGGAGGCAGCAGUGGGGAAUAUUGGACAAUGGGCGAAAGCCUGAUCCAGCCAUGCCGCGUGUGUGAAGAAGGUCUUCGGAUUGUAAAGCACUUUAAGUUGGGAGGAAGGGCAGUAAAUUAAUACUUUGCUGUUUUGACGUUACCGACAGAAUAAGCACCGGAUAACUCUGUGCCAGCAGCCGCGGUAAUACAGAGGGUGCAAGCGUUAAUCGGAAUUACUGGGCGUAAAGCGCGCGUAGGUGGUUCGUUAAGUUGGAUGUGAAAAUCCCCGGGCUCAACCUGGGAACUGCAUUC
rnacentral:rRNA from 1 species